rnacentral:misc_RNA from 1 species
AGAUUCUACACAAGGAAGGUUGUUAUUGAUAAAGAAACCAGACCCAGAUAAUGCUGCAGCAACAGCUCGUUGGCUGGUUUCUCAGAAUUCUUGGGGGGUUCUAAAUACCAUAUCAAUGGAUUUGGGAGGAGCACCCUUUGGUAAUGUUGUUUCAUUUAGUGAUGGGCUACCUAAAGAAGGUAGUGGUAUCCCAUACUUUUAUUUGACAACGCUUGAUCCAACUGCAAGAAAUGCAUUGAGAGAUCAGAGGUCUUCCCUCACAAUCAGUGAAUACCCAAUAGGAACUUGUGGCAAGAAAGACCCCGAGAACCCAAGUUGUGCAAAGAUUACCCUCACUGGAAAGUUAAAGUUACUCAAGGAAGACUCUGAGGAAAUAGAAUUUGCUCGAAGUGCCCUAUUUACCAAACAUCCUGAGAUGGAGGGCUGGCCUAAAGGUCACAACUUCCAAUUCUUCAAAUUAGACAUUGAAGAUAUAUUUUUGAUUGAUUGGUUUGGUGGUCCUAAACCUCUCACAUUAGAUCAGUACUUCCAUCCUAAACUGAAUAACGUUCUUCCAUUCUCAGAAUACCCUUCUGAUCUCCCACUCGCGUAAGUGUUUAUAAUGAAUCUACUGUAAAUAAAGAUGUAAUAAUUGUUUUAUUUAUGUACUGCAACUAUUAUUCCUUUAUCAUAUCAAUUGCAAGUACAUAAGCAAGUCCAAACAAUUUGUUGGUGCUUAUU